AGGGCCCCGCGAGGUCGACGGUGAGGCUGCCGUUGCUGGCGAGCGAGAAGGCGGUGACGGUCGAGGGGAAGAUGCCCGGGGGCAGGCCGUACUUCGGGAGGAGCUCGGCGAGGGUCGGCGGAGGCGGUGGAGGAGGAGGAGGAGGAGGAGGAGGAGGAGGAGGAGGAGGAGAGGCGGGAGGGGUCGCGGGCUCCGCUGACGCCGUGGUGACGCCGGUGGCGAGGAGGAGAGGCAGGAGGAAGAGGAGAGCGAGACGCCGCAUUGGGAAGAGACGGGAAGACAGCACGUUUUUUUUUCUCCGCUUCGGUGGGGCGUCAUAACGUGUAUAAGUAUGGGUAGGCGGGGAGCCUGGGUAGGUGCCGGCAAAUGGGCUUGCUGUGCGGGCCUGGGUUCCAAUUCCACCUCCACGAGGUUUCAGAGUCAGGUCAUGAUCAUUUUGUUUGCUUCACUAUCAACGGGACCCCGCCGUGCUGUUAUCAAGUUGGGCAAC
rnacentral:lncRNA from 1 species